rnacentral:lncRNA from 1 species
CAAAGAAAAGAAGCACAAGAAACACAAAAAGACAGAAAAGUCUAACAACAACAAGCUCAAGAUAAAGCACAGCAUAGAGAUGCAUCCGACAGUUUCAAGGUCAUCUUCAAAAGAGAGAAUUUUGUCAAGAAAAUCAAGGGCCCCUUUAAAAGAGAAAUCUAGGUCAAGGAGAUCAAGGUCCCCUUCAAAAGAGAGAUUUAGGUCAAGGAAAUCAAGGUCCUCUUCAAAAGAGAGACCUAGAUCAAAAAAAUUAAGGUCACCUUCAGAAGCGAGAUCUAGGUCAAGGAGGUCAAGGUCACCUUCAGAAGAGAGAUCUUGGUCAAGGAAGUCAAGGUCACCUUCAGAAGAGAGAUCUAGGUCAAGGAAGUCGAGGUCACCUUCAGAAGAGAGAGCUAGGUCAAGGAAGUCGAGGUCACCUUCAGAAGAGAGAUCUAGGUCAAGGAAGUUGAGGUCACCUUCAGAAGAGAUAUCUAGGUCAAGGAAGGCGAGGUCACCUUCAGAAGAGAGAUCUAGGUCAAGGAAGUCGAGGUCAUCUUCAAAAAAAAAAAAAGAUCUUGGUCAAGGAAACCAAGGGCACAUUCAGAAGAGAGUUCAGUUAUAUCAAGCUCAGGAUAAGAUGUGGUAAAAGUUCGAGCAGAUAUUCCAGAGGCAGCUCCAGAAGCAGUGGAUCCUUAUCCAGGAACGGGAUCAAGAGAAGGGAGGCAUCAAAGCCAAGAUCAGAGAGGAGCAGUAGUUAUAGCAUUUCCUCCUCAUCCUGAGAACAAGAGUGCUUGCUUGAAGAUAACCAUGAGGACUAUUGCUUCAGAUUAAACACAAAAAUCAAUCUUAAAACUUAUUUUGAAGAUUCUUCACUGCUUUUGUCAUACACACCCUAGUAUUACACGUUUUGUGUAUUUAUUGUUCUUCAUUUUUGUCGUGGAUUAUGAAAUGACUGAUUUAGUAACAAUUCCAUUGCCUUAGAGGCAUGUAACAAGUGUUCAUUAGAUACAUUUGUGCAGGAAGUGACAAAUUGGGCAUUUUAAUAUAUAAUCUUUUUCCUGUAUAUUUUUAUAUCAAUUUAACAGUUGUCUUAAAGUCCUUUAAUAUUCAAUUCACUAGUUAUAGACCGUUUCUGUAUGGGGAAAGAGAGAUAUAAAUAGAGCACAAUUUGUUCUUCUCUAGAGUUCAUGAAAUAUUGAUGCCUGUAGGUGGUUGAAAUAAAAGAACGUGAAUAUAUUUAUAUUAUUAUUUGUAUUAUAUUUGUAUUAUAUUAGGUCUUGCUUUGUCAUAAUGUCAUAGUUGAAAGACAGUGUAUCAUUUAACUUUCAAGUUGUAAAGUGCUUCAUUUUUUAAAUGACCCUAAUUUGCAGUUUUGCCAUCUGCAUAUUUUAUAACAGUAAGACCGUAUUCCCAUUUGUAUUCCUCAUGAUAAUGUGUUCACAAAUAAGUGAUCCUAAACCAUUUACAAGAUUUAGAGGAAAAUAAGAUUGUUCCAUGUUAACUGUUAACUUUGUCAAUUUUACUGUCAGCAUGUACAUGUGCUCCACAUCAACAAAUAAAUACAGCUGCAAUUGA